GCCGGGGUAGCUCAAUGGUAGAGCAGCCGCUUCGUAAGCGGCAGGUCGUGGGUUCGAGUCCCGUCCCCGGCU
rnacentral:tRNA from 1 species